CCGCAAGUCGAAAAGGUUGCGGCCGUCAUGCUUGACAGCAGAUCCGUUGUUAUCAGAUGGCAUUGUCAAGCGUUCGGGGGGAGUAGUGUCAGAGGUGAUAACGCCGUGCUGACCCGCUGACUGACUGGUAGAGGUUUGUAUCGUGUAUUUGCUGUGCAGAGCCUAACCCGUGUCGUCGGCCGCCAGCUGAUCUCUGCAUGCUGGAAACACGGCAUAUCCUCCCUUCAUCCAGGUUCAGGGAGAUCGAAAACAGACCCACAGAUCCGCCGACAGAAUGACAGAACAGUCAAUUGAUUAGUGUGCCGUGAUAAAUUGUGCAGAAGAUCGUCCCUUGGACUUUGCCACAGAUUCUAAAUCUUGCCUAUUGAUGAUGAUGGAUGUAGUCAUGACAGUGGCAGAGAGAAGAAGCUAGAAAUUAAAGAAGAGAAACUGAACUUCUGAGCAUUGAUGCAAGUGGCGGUCUGACAACUGGCUCACUAUGAGACUGAGAGCAUUUUUGCGGGGGCGAUUUUACCGUUCAAAACUGGGAG